CCUGACUUCGGAUGAGAUGUGAGUACCGGCGGAACGUCA
rnacentral:rRNA from 1 species